CAACCCGCUGAGCGACUCGACCUAAGGGGGACAAGCUGGCAGGUGGACCAUUCCUACGACGUUGGAGAAGCAUUGAUCUGCCUCUUGAUUUGAAUGCUGAUUUAUUGACAAGUACAUCGAGCGAGGAUUCAACCCACCCAACAUGUUGUCCAGUUAUGGAAUGCCAUUGGGGACUAAACCAUCUGGGAAAGUACGGCUCGAUUCGACCAAAUGGACCACGUCAAAAAGAACGCGUUGGCGGGACCCACAUUUAACGUCUUCAGACGUUCCAAUCAAAAUGCAACGAGUGG